UACAGAGGUCUCAAGCGUUGUUCGGAUUCAUUGGGCGUAAAGGGCGCGUAGGCUGCGGGGCAAGUCGGGGUGUGAAAUCUCAGAGCUCAACUCUGAAACUGCACUCGAUACUGCUUUGCUCGAGGACUGGAGAGGAGAUUGGAAUUCACGGUGUAGCAGUGAAAUGCGUAGAUAUCGUGAGGAAGACCAGUGGCGAAGGCGGAUCUCGUGGACAGUUCCUGACGCUGAGGCGCGAAGGCCAGGGGAGCAAACGGG
rnacentral:rRNA from 1 species